AUUGAACGCUGGCGGCAUGCCUUACACAUGCAAGUCGAACGGCAGCACGGGAGCAAUCCUGGUGGCGAGUGGCGAACGGGUGAGUAAUGUAUCGGAACGUACCUUUCAGUGGGGGAUAACGUAGCGAAAGUUACGCUAAUACCGCAUAUUCUGUGAGCAGGAAAGCAGGGGAUCGCAAGACCUUGCGCUGAUUGAGCGGCCGAUAUCAGAUUAGCUAGUUGGUGAGGUAAAGGCUCACCAAGGCGACGAUCUGUAGCGGGUCUGAGAGGAUGAUCCGCCACACUGGAACUGAGACACGGUCCAGACUCCUACGGGAGGCAGCAGUGGGGAAUUUUGGACAAUGGGCGCAAGCCUGAUCCAGCCAUGCCGCGUGAGUGAAGAAGGCCUUCGGGUUGUAAAGCUCUUUCAGCCGGGAAGAAAACGCAUGGGUUAAUACCCUGUGUGGAUGACGGUACCGAAAUAAGAAGCACCGGCUAACUACGUG
rnacentral:rRNA from 1 species